rnacentral:rRNA from 1 species
UACGAAGGGGGCUAGCGUUGCUCGGAAUCACUGGGCGUAAAGCGCACGUAGGCGGAUUGCUAAGUCAGGGGUGAAAUCCUGGAGCUCAACUCCAGAACUGCCUUUGAUACUGGCGACCUUGAGUCCGGGAGAGGUGAGUGGAACUGCGAGUGUAGAGGUGAAAUUCGUAGAUAUUCGCAAGAACACCAGUGGCGAAGGCGGCUCACUGGCCCGGUACUGACGCUGAGGUGCGAAAGCGUGGGGAGCAAACAGU